AAACUGGCCCAGAGGGAAGGAACGACACCGGACGUUUAUAGGGAGGCAUGACAUAAAGAAUUGUUUACUGAAGCCCUGCAAGGUGCCAAAGCCUGGACUAGACGCCUUAUAUAACCAGCGCAGGAACCCUGUAAAGUAUAAACAUCUGAGUGCUUUUGCCACAGAGAGAGCAGAAAGUAAAGAGGCAGGAGCAGUAAGCUGGUCUCCCACCAUCCCUCCAGCAAAUCUCCCACUGUAGCAAUGAAAAUGUGUCAGCGGACAGAGCUCGGAAGCAAGGCUAGAAAAGAUGGUCAAAGAGAGAAGCCAUCUCCAGUGCCCAUGUUGGAAUUGGCAACACCUCUGAUCCACACGAUUCGUUUCUGCUGUCUCUAGUGGUUUCUUGAGGCUGGUUCACAUUCCUCCUCUUGCUCUUGAACAUCAAAACUCCAGGUUCUCUGGCCUUGGGACUAAGAAUUACACCAGCAGCCUUCCUGGUGGGGAGGUAAUUUGAACUUGGACUGAGCAUCCCAGGGCCUCCAGCUUGCACACAGCCUGUGGUAGAACUUAGUCUUCAUUAUCAUGUAGGCCAGUCCCCCUAAUAAGUCCCCUUUCAUGUAUUGAUAUCAUAUCUAUCUACAUCUAUAUCUAUCCUACCAUUUCUGUUUCUCUGGAGGGUCCUCAUCAGCAGGCCCAGUGAAGGAAGAAUCAGAGCUGCUCCCCAGCACUGCACUCAGGGUAUGAUGUGACUUCAGAGAAGAUGUCUACUUGGCAUGGCUAGGCGCAGGUCUUCCCAUUCAGCAAAAUUUCUCAUUGUCCAUAGAUGAGCAGAUAAUUGCUUGACACCGAAUGAGACCCGGAAAUUUGAACACAGGAAACUCAGGAAAUUUUAGUAGUGACGUAUUUGAUGUGUUAAAACUGCUUGUAUCAAUGAACUGCCAUGUAGCUAUCCUAUAUUCUAGAAUGGAAAGGGGGAGGCUUUAAUAAUAAAUAAUAUGGAUUUUCCAUAGUAAUAUAUUAA